rnacentral:lncRNA from 1 species
UGCUUGGCCUGUGAUUUGAGAGAAGAGUGGUCCUGUGCUGCAGCUGGAUUUCCUUGGCUGGGAAAGUGGAAAGGAAGAAUGUGUCACCUGUAGCGGGAGCCCAGGCUAGGACUGGAACAACACAAGAUGGGACCUGCUGGGGAGGAAGCUUCCCAUGACUUGCCUGCUGGCUUCCAACUGGUGAAAUGAAGGGCCAGCAACCCACGUGAUUAAGGACAGAAGGCUGCUGAGGAAGCUAAUUGCUAUACAUCCUGUGGUUAAGUUAUCAUCUUUCUCAAUGACUGAAGAUCAUAAUUUUAUCUUUAGGCAGAAGAACAGAGGGAGUGAACAUGUCUCAGGACUAAGACCAAGACAGAGGGACUCAAAACCAGGUAAGAAUUGCAGCAGAAGCAAUGAAGACUCUAACAGACUGGUUUUGGAACAUUUCCAGCUUGGAAGAAGGGGGAAUAUGAUAGAUAGCUGCAAAGAUCUAUGUAGCAUUGAGAGUAUGGGUAGGGACUGGCCAUUCCCUGUCUCAGUGCAGGAGCUAGGAACACUGAAUGAAGCAGGCAGGAUGAGGGGAUUCUUCCUGCAUCAGGGACUCGACCUGUGCAACGUGACCUAG